CGGAGGGUGCAAGCGUUAUCCGGAUUUACUGGGUUUAAAGGGUGCGUAGGUGGGUCUGUAAGUCAGUGGUGAAAUCUCCGAGCUUAACUCGGAAACUGCCAUUGAUACUAUAGGUCUUGAAUUAUCUGGAGGUAAGCGGAAUAUGUCAUGUAGCGGUGAAAUGCUUAGAUAUGACAUAGAACACCAAUUGCGAAGGCAGCUUACUACGGAUCGAUUGACACUGAGGCACGAAAGCGUGGGAUCAAACAGGAUU
rnacentral:rRNA from 1 species